rnacentral:tRNA from 1 species
GUCUAUUUAGUUUAAAUUUUUAAAACAUUGAUUUGUGAAAUCAGGGAUUUUUUUAGAAAUUAGGCC